AACCAUGAUAAUCAAAUACUACGUCAUGAAUAUUAAUAAUACUACAACAACAACCAGUGCUUUGUAGCUAAGAUGGUAAGUAAGAUGGUCACUAUCCUCUCAUAAAUUGGUUGAACACAACUCGUGCAUCAUGUGUCAAGGGUCAUCUUAAAUUCUUAAUUUUCCAUUUUCUUCAGCCUUUUUCAAUCACUUUUUUUUUUCCUCUUCUAACUUGUAUUCUCAUAAUUUCAUCCAAAUACUCUAAGAAUCGACAUCUAAAAGAAGGAAUAAUAAAUGGAAUAAUAUGGUUUUUUCGUGGCACUUACACAUACAUGUGGUGUUUCCUUUUAUUUAUUAUUUAUUUAUUUAUCGGUGUUUGUCAUUUCAUCCUAGCUGUGCAAUUUCUCCUCGUUGAAAUACAACUCCACGAGAUUCCUUUGGUUGCUGAUAAAGUUCCAAAUCCUGGUGAUACUGUGUUGUACCUUUACGUUAAACCAACAGCAGAAUGGAAUAUUUAUAUAAUUAAGCUCCAAUCUCAGUGCAUGAAGUGCAUAUUAAAUGGUUAAAUGAGAUCAAGAAAAAGAGUUAAUUAAUGAACAUAAUUGCUAAGGCUUAGGUUGCUGUCGCUUAAUAGUUUGCGCCGGCAGCAAAUUAUAGAAACAAGAUACAUUCUACCAAGUGAUGAAGAGUUAAAUAAUGGCAUGUCCUAAUCUAAGCUCCACUCAUAAUCACCCUCUACAUUAUUGGGAUUAUUAUUUUACCAUAAUUAUUGAAUGCAUAAACCAUGAGAUCACUUUGAAAAUAAUUUAACACCUAAACAAACAUAUGGCACACACACAUAUAUGGUUGGGGAAUGGACGUGUAACAUUUUUUUAAUCACAAAUCUCAACCAUUGACCCAAUCCUUUUUUUUUCUUUUCCUUCAGUAUUCUCCCCAAGUGGAGUUUUACGUUUCAUUUUUUUCCUCCAUUAAUCUCAUUUUACACCAAUUUAAAACAUGUGAUGCACUUCUUUUGAUUGCAUGUACUCUAGAGAUAGAGAGAGGGAAAUAAUUUAAGAAGAGGGGUAUCACAGCACAACCUGAUCAGAGAGAAGUCACAUGGUGAUGAUUUUGAAGAUCACAGAAGUGGGGUCUCAUUAUGCAGUGACUGAGUUAGGGUUGUGGCAUGGCAGUGGCAAGACAUUAGAAGAUUGAAAAUGAAAGAAGAAUAUGCAAUGUGUGAUUUUUUGGUCCCAAAAGAAGUAAGGUUAUGCAGAUUGUGGCACUAUUGUUGAAGCAACUUUACACUGUAAACAAAGGCAAAAUUGAAUGAUGGAUGUCAACUUUUUUAGGAGAAGUAAUUGCCUAUCCCAAACAAUCCCCACAUGCAUGUCUUUCCAUGUGAUUUUGGACAUCUUCGGGUCCCUGCUCCUAAUCAUGUCCAUAUAAAGUUUAUGUGUAGGGUUUCAACCCAAGUUACAUUCACAUAAUCAUUUUACUUUUUCCUUUUCCUAAUAAUAACACCUAUUUUUCACUCU